UCUGACCUCAAAUCAGGUAGGA
rnacentral:rRNA from 1 species